AGAACUUUACAGCAAUAGGACUCUAUGAAGAAAAAUGGGAACAGGCUGUGGCAUGCAAGGUGAUAAAUCACCACUGCUUUCCAGCACACUCAUUUUAACUGCUAGAGGAGAUGCAUACAACUUGUUUGGCAUCAGCUGGAAGUUAACAACCAGCAGCAUUCACUUCACUGUGAAACCAGAUCAGAGCUAAUCUGACAAACAGAAGUCAACGGUUAUUUCUUCAGAGAUCACCACUCCUUCAAACAAAUACACCUGAAGCUAGGAAGUUGUGUCAACUGCCAUUCCCUUACGUAUGAAAAACCUUUCUACUUACAAAGUUUUUUAAAAUAAAAUACCAUUUUAUUUGUAGUAAUUAAAAUAAAACCACUCUUUUGCAACUGUUGAAAA